CUGAAUUCCCAAGCUGGCCUAGUAACUGACAGUGCCGUCAGCGUUUUGAGUGGCGCGUCCUGUUUAGCAAUUCCUAAACUGCGUCCAUGUACGAAUCGCCUAAAACUGUUUAGACAAACAGGACGUAACCUGCUCUGAAAUCCCUGAGGAUAGUGGCGACCUAUAUAAUUUGGCCGGGAGAUGUCUUGCUUUGUACAAAGAAAAGGUCAGACUAAUUUCCCAAAGAGUUAAUGACCUGUCAGUGGUUGGAGACCCAUGAAACAUGAAGCCAUUAAUUCAAAGGCCACAGAUAAGUUAUAUUGAAUUACUCUCUGUUAUCUUCUCUGUUUAGAUGAUCCUCACUAGCCUGUGAGGCUGGAAUAUGUGUAUAAACACAGUAUAAACUGUUCAUGUUGAUCUCCUAAACGUAUGCCUUACCUAGAUCUACUUUGGGAGUUGGAAACUUGAAUCGAUGUUAUCAGAUGAGUUAGAGUCUAAACCAGAGUUGCUGGUUCAGUUUGUUCAGAACACAUCUAUCCCACUAGGACAGGGGCUUGUGGAAUCAGAACCUAAAAAUAUUACCUGUCUAUCUCUUCUUCCCGUUACAGAAUCCCCACAAUGCAACAGGUUGAUAUUGCCAGAUGAUUCCCCAAACCAUAUUCACUCUUCCAAGCAUGCUUCUUCUUCGGCUGUUCUGCGAAGUCUCCAAGUAAAUGUUGGCCCUGAUGGUGAGGAGACAAGGGCACAAACAGUACAGAAACCACCUGACCUUCUUCCAAGUCCUGAUACUUCUACCUUAUUGCAAGAUCUUCAGCCUGGUGAUAACACUUCCUUUAUUCUCCUCAAUUUAACCCGGACAGGCCUAGGGUCUUCUUCAGAACACCUGGUAUUUGUCCAGGAUGGAGCAGUUGAUUCUGGGAACAAUUUCUUUGCGAAUAAUAGUACAGACAGCAGUACCCCAUGGUUUUUACGUGUACAAGAACUGGCUCAUGAUAGUUUGAUUGCUGCCACCCGAGCACAGCUCGCUAAGAAUGCCAAAGCAAGCAAUAAUGGGGAAAAUGUUCAUGUUUGUUCAGGAGAAUCACAGCCGAAGGAAUCCAGCCCCAUUCCUCACUUACCCCGGGUAGAAAAAAAAUUGCAGUGCACUGUUGAAGGCUGUGAUCGAACAUUUGUAUGGCCAACUCACUUCAAAUAUCAUCUAAAAACCCACAGGAAUGAUCGCUCCUACACAUGUCCAGCAAAAGAUUGUGGGAAAAGCUUUUAUGUUUUACAAAGAUUGAAGGUGCACAUGAGAACACAUAAUGGUGAGAAACCAUUUAUUUGCUCUGAACUAGGCUGUGGAAAGCAAUUUACAACAGCUGGGAAUCUGAAGAAUCAUCUGCGAAUUCACACUGGGGAAAAGCCUUUUUUAUGUGAGGCCCAGGGCUGUGGUCGUUCCUUUGCUGAAUAUUCCAGCCUUCGGAAACAUCUAGUUGUCCAUUCAGGACUAAAGCCACACCAAUGUCAAAUUUGUGGGAAGACGUUUUCUCAGAGUGGUAGUAGAAAUGUACACAUGAAGAAACAUCAUUCGAGGGUUGAAACAAUUAGCAAUAGGCAGCAUGAGCAAACAGAAUCACUGAUGGGCAGCAGUUUGUUGGAAGAAUCUGAAUUAGACAGUAAGAGCCUGGUGUCAAUGAAUUCUCCAUCUAGCCUUGUUGAAUCUUUGCAUUUGCCAGAUCCGGAAUCAAUCAUUGGUGUAAAAGAAGAGGUUCUAGCUGAAGCAGCAGUAAAUUCUCUUCAUGAUGUAUCUGAUGUGGUUUUGCCAUCUCAUCAUCUGAUGCCCAUGUCAACAUCAAGGCACUCUUACGGCGUAUCAUCCUUACUACAAUAAAUUCUUAGGUCUGAAGGUUUCUGUUUUGAAAAAUGUAGUGCUAGUCCCUUUAAUUUCAGAAAAUAUUUGCUCCUGUGAUUGAAGAACUGAGAUUGGAAAUCUACUAGCCCCCUUUCUGAAAGAGUGGGAAGAGAUACCCACUUCAGAAUGCUCUGUCCUCACUGUAGAAGAAGGAUCUUCAUGUUACAGAAGAACAGCAAAUCUGUGACACUGAAUAUAUGAUACUAUAUGAAGCUAAAGAACAGGCUUUUCAAGUUGACAUUUAAAUUCCUGGAAUUUGUGCAGUGUCUCCAGUGUACUUAUGACAUGGUGGAGCAGAGGCCUGGACUAUGGUUUUGCUUCAGUCAGUGAAAAAAAACUUUGUUUUCUAAGAGAGGAUGGAACAGCAGCUAUUAAUUAUGAAUUUAAUAUUUAACCUGGUGUCCAAAAGCCAGGAGAUAAUGUUCUUGUACCUAGUUUAAAGCCAGAUUUUUUUUUCUUUUUUGAAGUGACCAUAAGCUCAACAUUAUAAUGGCUUGUUCUUGGAGAAAUAUCUUUUAAGUAGUAAUAAAUUCUGCACUUUGGUGUGGCAGUUCUGGUUUUGCUUCUUAUUUAUAAGGGCAGUUGGUGGUACUUUCAUCGGGAAUUUUUGCCUUCCCAUGCUUUGUGUGGAUAUGUUUACUAACAUUGCUUUUGGUCCAAACUGAAGAUCUCAUACUAUUCAGAGUAUUGCUUCGGUCACACUUGGUUCUUGCUGUGAUAUUUUAAUAUCUAAUUAUUAGGUUUAAUAGAUUUUUUUUUGUUUUUAAAAAAAAUCAAAGGUAGAAAUUAUUCAGUGGCAUUCUGUUGUAAAUAAACUAUAUAUUUCCAUUCUCAA